UGCCCCGUGGCUGAGUUGGUUACAGCGUCCGACUGUUACGGUCGCAAUCGGAAGGUCGUGAGUUCGAGCCUCACCGGGGCAG
rnacentral:tRNA from 1 species